rnacentral:rRNA from 1 species
UACGAAGGGGGCUAGCGUUGUUCGGAAUUACUGGGCGUAAAGGGCGCGUAGGCGGUCUGAUAAGUUAGGUGUGAAAUUCCCGGGCUUAACCUGGGGGCUGCACUUAAUACUGUUGGGCUUGAAUCCGGGAGAGGAUAGCGGAAUUCCCAGUGUAGAGGUGAAAUUCGUAGAUAUUGGGAAGAACACCAGUGGCGAAGGCGGCUAUCUGGACCGGUAUUGACGCUGAGGCGCGAAAGCGUGGGGAGCAAACAGG